ACCCUUUUAUCUACUUUAAUAAGUCACAAUAUAAAAAUUUAUUUGUGGAGAUCUCAUGUAUGUAGGUUUCACCAACCCUUUUUUCCUCAUUACUUACUGAAUAUCGAUGUUCUGUGUUCAACAGAUUCUUCAAGUCCUUCCUGCCAUUCGGAGGGUUGAGAACAUGCAAUUUGAGGUAUAAAGAAAUGAGGGACGGCGUUGAUAAGACCACCGAUUAUCAGAUGAAAUAUUCACGAGGGGUUAGAUAUAGUCAUGCUAAACUCAACAAUUGCUUUAGAGGUGAUGGAGGUACCGAUGGACCAUUGAUUAGCGAGGGAGAAAACAAGUAUACAUCAUUUCUCAAUAUUGUUUAGGACUAAUGAG